AAAGACCCGCAAGGGUAUGCUGAGAGAUGGGCUUGCGGCACAUUAGUUAGUUGGUAAGGUAAUGGCUUACCAAGACUAUGAUGUGUAGCUGGACUGAGAGGUUGAACGGCCACAUUGGGACUGAGAUACGGCCCAAACUCCUACGGGAGGCAGCAGUAAGGAAUUUUCGGCAAUGGAGGAAACUCUGACCGAGCAACGCCGCGUGAACGAUGAAGUAUUUAGGUACGUAAAGUUCUUUUAUUAAAGAAGAAAAAAUGAUGGAAAAAUCAUUCUGACGGUAUUUAAUGAAUAAGCCCCGGCUAACUAUGUGCCAGCAGCUGCGGUAAUACAUGGGGGGCAAGCGUUAUCCGGAUUUAUUGGGCGUAAAGGGUGCGUAGGCGGUUAAAUAAGUCUAUGGUAUAAGUUCAACGCUUAACGUUGUGAUGCUAUAGAAACUGUUUGACUAGAGUUGGAUAGAGGCAAGUGGAAUUCCAUGUGUAGCGGUAAAAUGCGUAAAUAUAUGGAGGAACACCAGUAGCGAAGGCGGCUUGCUGGGUCUUAACUGACGCUGAGGCACGAAAGCGUGGGGAGCAAACAGGAUUAGAUACCCUGGUAGUCCACGCCGUAAACGAUGAGUACUAAGUGUUGGGUUAAACCAGUGCUGAAGUUAACACAUUAAGUACUCCGCCUGAGUAGUACGUACGCAAGUAUGAAACUUAAAGGAAUUGACGGGACUCCGCACAAGCGGUGGAUCAUGUUGUUUAAUUCGAAGAUACACGAAAAACCUUACCAGGUCUUGACAUACUCUGCAAAGCUAUAGAAAUAUAGUGGAGGUUAUCAGGGAUACAGGUGGUGCAUGGUUGUCGUCAGCUCGUGUCGUGAGAUGUUGGGUUAAGUCCCGCAACGAGCGCAACCCUUAUCACUAGUUACCAUCAUUUAGUUGGGCACUUUAGUGAGACUGCCAAUGAUAAAUUGGAGGAAGGUGGGGAUUACGUCAAAUCAUCAUGCCCCUUAUGACCUGGGCUACAAACGUGAUACAAUGGCUGUUACAAAGAGUAGCUGAAACGUGAGUUUUUAGCAAAUCUCAAAAAAACAGUCUCAGUUCGGAUUGAAGUCUGCAACUCGACUUCAUGAAGUCGGAAUCGCUAGUAAUCGCGA
rnacentral:rRNA from 1 species